CCUACGGGGGACAGCAGUGAGGAAUAUUGGUCAAUGGACGCAAGUCUGAACCAGCCAUGCCGCGUGCAGGAAGACGGCUCUAUGAGUUGUAAACUGCUUUUGUACGAGGGUAAACGCAGAUACGCGUAUCUGUCUGAAAGUAUCGUACGAAUAAGGAUCGGCUAACUCCGUGCCAGCAGCCGCGGUAAUACGGAGGAUUCAAGCGUUAUCCGGAUUUAUUGGGUUUAAAGGGUGCGUAGGUGGUCGGAUAAGUUAGCGGUGAAAUCCCGAGGCUCAACUUCGGAAUUGCCUCUGAAACUGUUCGGUGAGAGAGGAGGUGCGGUAGGCGGAAUGUAUGGUGUAGCGGUGAAAUGCUUAGAGAUCAUACAGAACACCGAUUGCGAAGGCAGCUUACCAAGCUACUUCUGACGUUGAGGCACGAAAGCGUGGGGAGUAAACAGGAUUAGAUACCCGUGUAGUC
rnacentral:rRNA from 1 species